rnacentral:tRNA from 1 species
CAGUGGGUGGUGCAGUGGGUGGUGCGAUCGGCUGCGGAGCCAUAGGUCGCUGGUUCGAUUCCCCUGCUGG